UCACAACAACUGUGUGAGGUAUAGGUGUC
rnacentral:piRNA from 1 species